rnacentral:rRNA from 1 species
CCUACGGGAGGCUGCAGUGAGGAAUAUUGGUCAAUGGCCGAGAGGCUGAACCAGCCAAGUCGCGUGAGGGAAGAAUGUCCUAUGGAUUGUAAACCUCUUUUGUCAGGGAGCAAAGUCACCCACUUGUGGGUGUUGGAGAGUACCUGAAGAAAAAGCAUCGGCUAACUCCGUGCCAGCAGCCGCGGUAAUACGGAGGAUGCGAGCGUUAUCCGGAUUUAUUGGGUUUAAAGGGUGCGUAGGCGGGUUAUCAAGUCAGCGGUAAAAUCGUGGGGCUCAACUCCAGCCAGCCGUUGAAACUGAUGGUCUUGAGUGGGCGAGAAGUAUGCGGAAUGCGUGGUGUAGCGGUGAAAUGCAUAGAUAUCACGCAGAACUCCGAUUGCGAAGGCAGCAUACCGGCGCCCGACUGACGCUGAGGCACGAAAGCGUGGGUAUCGAACAGGAUUAGAUACCCCAGUAGUC